AUUAUGGGCCUGAUCCAAAACUCAUUGAAGUCAAUGGGAGUUUUCCAUUGACUACAGUGGAUUUUGGAUCAGACUCUCUAAAAU
rnacentral:pre_miRNA from 1 species